rnacentral:lncRNA from 1 species
UUAGUGGAAUAUUCAGUCACGGUGCCCAACAUUCCAGGGCAUAGCCCUGCCUUUAGCCGCAGGCAAGUAGAGAUUUUGAGAACAACAACUGAAAUUCACCACAGUUACUGAUCAACCUGGGUUGGCUUAUAUAGGCUCAAAGGUGAUGGCAGUAGCCAAAUCAAGUGCUUUUGGGCAAAGCCAGGGACUGGUCUCCUCACAAUGAGGCCCAGUAUGGAUCUAUUAUCUAGGACAACCAAUCAGACUCCCUGACAGAUUUUUUUUGUUUGUUUUUUUUUCCAGUAAAUUCUGGGAUAACCUGGAGAGUUGAAUGGGCACCAACUUUUCUAUCUGUGGAGAGACACUUUAGGAAGAAUAAAGCUUCAGGAGAAGAAAAAGACAAAAGACGUUGGAGUUGCCUCAUUGAAACCAGCAGCACUAUAGUACUAUCAAUAUGAUAGACACAGAUUUCUACAUAGGGACAAACUGGAGGCAGAGGAAAAGAAUCUGUAUCAGGAGAGGUAUUAGCAGAGAUGCGAAAGAGAAAGAAGCAUCAGGAAGAGGAGAAAAGAAAGAAAGAAAUUUUGUGCCUUUACGAUGACAACAAUGAGAUAAAUUGACAAGUUAUAUAUGUAUAUGUGUGUAUAUAUAUUUAAAUGAUAUUUUCCAAACAAAAGUUAUUUCAU